UGGCGACCAUAGCGUUGUGGACCCACCUGAACCCAUGCCGAACUCAGAAGUGAAACGCAAUAGCGCCGAUGGUAGUGUGGGGUUUCCCCAUGUGAGAGUAGGACAUCGCCAGGC
rnacentral:rRNA from 1 species